rnacentral:rRNA from 1 species
UAAUUUUUUCCCGGGGUUGGAAUCCGGAAGGCCAAGGUCUACCUUUUUCUACGGGAUAACGCAUGGAAACGUGUGCUAAUACCGUAUACGCCCUAAAAGGGGAAACAUUUUAUUGGAGAGAGAUGAGCCUGCGUUGGAUUACCUACUUGGUACGGUAACAGCCUACCAAGGCUACGAUCUAUAUCUGGUCUGAGAGGACGAUCAGCCACACUGGGACUGAGACACGGCCCCGAUUCCUACGGGAGGCAGCAGUGGGGAAUAUUGGACAAUGGGGGCAACCCUGAUCCAGCCAUGCCGCGUGAGUGAAGAAGGCCUUAGGGUUGUAAAGCUCUUUCGCCGGAGAAGAUAAUGACGGUAUUCGGAGAAGAAGCCCCGGCUAACUUCGUGCCAGCAGCCGCGGUAAUACGAAGGGGGCGAGCGUUGUUCGGAAUAACUGGGCGUAAAGGGCGCGUAGGCGGGCGAUUAAGUUAGAGGUGAAAUCCCAGGGCUCAACCUUGGAACUGCCUUUAAUACUGGUUGUCUAGAGUUUAGGAGAGGUGAGUGGAAUUCCGAGUGUAGAGGUGAAAUUCGUAGAUAUUCGGAGGAACACCGGUGGCGAAGGCGGCUCACUGGCCUGAUACUGACGCUGAGGCGCGAAAGCGUGGGGAGCAAACAGGAUUAGAUACCCUGGUAGUCCACGCCGUAAACGAUGAGUGCUAGCUGUUGGGUGGUUUACCAUUCCGUGGCGCAGCUAACGCAUUAAGCACUCCGCCUGGGGAGUACGGUCGCAAGAUUAAAACUCAAAGGAAUUGACGGGGGCCCGCACAAGCGGUGGAGCAUGUGGUUUCAUUCGAUGCAACGCGCAGAACCUUACCAGCCCUUGACAUGUAUAGGAGGAUAUCAGAGAUGGUAUUUUCUUUUCGGAGACCUUUACACAGGUGAUGCAUGGCUGUGGUCAGCUCGUGUCGUGAGAUGUUGGGUUAAGUCCCGCAACGAGCGCAACCCCCGCCUCUAGUUGCCAUCAAGUUUAGGUUUUUACCUAGAUGUUGGGUACAUUAUAGGGACUGACGGUGGUCCGUAUUCGCAAGAUGUGGAUGACGCCAAGUCCUCAUGGCCCUUAUGGGUCUGGGCUACAUCACGGCGCACGCAUUUGGUAGG